ACAGCAGUAUGGCUUCAUGCAUUGUUUCAACACAGUCAAGAAAAGCCAGAUUUCUUCUGAAAUUUCUUCUGAAAAGCCAGCCAAUUUCUGAUGUCACAAAUAAAUAUAAAACUACAUGCAAGAGUGGAAGAAGGUGCGGAUGCUUGUCAUUGGAUUUAAGGCCCACCUGGAUAACCCAGCAUGAUUUCAUCUCAAGACACUUAAAUCAGUAUCAUCAGGGAAGACACCCUUUCUGAAAGGCCCUCCUAUUCACAAUUCACCAGCAGACUGCCUUGAAUUCACAACGUGCUGACUUUCCCUGGGAGGCACGAAGAACGUUCUCCAUGGACUCAUUACUUAGAAUGUCCUCCAAGCACGCUGUGGUGAAGGGGCAGUGUUCUGCCUUCUGUUUUGCAGGCGGUGAGGAGGAGGAUUCUGUGAAUAAACCGCAGAUGUACUGGCCCAGGGCAAUGAUUGCUUAACAACUCUGGUUUCUC